rnacentral:rRNA from 1 species
UACGGGGGGGGCAAGCGUUGUUCGGAAUUACUGGGCGUAAAGGGCGCGUAGGCGGCCUGCUAAGUCGGAUGUGAAAUCCCUCGGCUCAACCGAGGAACUGCAUCCGAUACUGGCGGGCUUGAAUCCGGGAGAGGGAUGUGGAAUUCCAGGUGUAGCGGUGAAAAUGCGUAGAUAUCUGGAGGAACACCGGUGGCGAAGGCGGCAUCCUGGACCGGUAUUGACGCUGAGGCGCGAAAGCUAGGGGAGCAACGGG